CCUACGGGAGGCAGCAGUGAGGAAUAUUGGUCAAUGGACGCAAGUCUGAACCAGCCAUGCCGCGUGCAGGAAGACGGCUCUAUGAGUUGUAAACUGCUUUUGUACGAGGGUAAACGCAUAUACGCGUAUCUGUCUGAAAGUAUCGUACGAAUAAGGAUCGGCUAACUCCGUGCCAGCAGCCGCGGUAAUACGGAGGAUUCAAGCGUUAUCCGGAUUUAUUGGGUUUAAAGGGUGCGUAGGCGGUCGGAUAAGUUAGAGGUGAAAUCCCGAGGCUCAACUUCGGAAUUGCCUCUGAUACUGGUAGGCUAGAGAGUAGUUGCGGUAGGCGGAAUGUAUGGUGUAGCGGUGAAAUGCUUAGAGAUCAUACAGAACACCGAUUGCGAAGGCAGCUUACCAAGCUACUUCUGACGUUGAGGCACGAAAGCGUGGGGAGCAAACAGGAUUAGAUACCCUAGUAGUC
rnacentral:rRNA from 1 species